GAAAUUUUGCACAGCAGCACUGCUCCUGCGAUCCUCCGCGCUCAUGGCUCCCCGCCUCCCCCUUCCCAUCCGGCGCCAGCGACGGCGGCGACCGCCUCGCCAUCGCGAUUGAACUCCGGGUGUUGGCAAGGAUUUCGAAUCGAUGGCUCGGUGGUGGAAUCCGAGAAAUGCUGUUUUGUUCAGUCCAAACGUGAAUGAAGAAUGUUUCAAGGGAUCUAUGUUGCUGAAGAUGGAUUCGAAGAUCAGUAUUCACAGAGAUGCCAAGGCACGGCAGAGAUGCCAUGCCAAACAAAACCAGGGUGAAUUUCGAGAAAACCAUCCAGCUUUUGUUUUCUUUGGUUAGUGGUUGAACCACUAGUGUACUGAUUUGUAUGACCUUUGGUCUUUUGGAUGUCGAGAUGGAUCCAAAUUGGUUAAAACACA